AUUUGCUCUCUUAAGCUGACUAUCUUCAAGUGAGGAAAUCACAUCAGUCUUCUGUUUUUGAACUCAGGCUCAGAUUGGAAAUAUACCAUUAGCUGUCCUGGGCCUCGAGUUUGCCAACCUCAGAUCUUGGGACUUCUCUACCUCCAUAAUCAUUUCUCCUUUAAAAAAAAAAAAUACAAGGAGCCUUGAGAAAUGGACAUGAUCCGUGUAUUUCUUGACCUCUGAGAUACCAUGGCUAAUCCCAACCAACCUGCAGAAAUACUGCUUCUGGAAGUUCCAUUUGCCUCCAUUCUGAGUGCUUAUUAACCCUGAAACUUUUGUCAGCUCAGGAAAAAGCAAAAGGUUCUAAACUAACUGGCUGCGCAGUGGAACACCCUUGUUCACCUCCUCACUGGGCUCCUGGGCCUCCAACUCCUGCCCUUCAGGUUCUAGAUGGAAUCUCGCUCUUGUCUCCCAGGCUGGAGUACAAUGGCGUGACCUUGGCUCACUGCAACCUCCACCUCCUGGGUUCGAGUGAUUCUCCUGCCUCAGCCUCCUGAGUAGCUGGGAUUACAGGCGCCCACCACCAUGCUCGGCUAAUUUUUGUGUUUUUAGUAGAGAUAGGGUUUCACCAUGUUGGCCAGGCUGGUCUUGAACUCCUGACCUCAGGUGAUCUGCCCACAUCAGCCUCCUUAAAAAUAAAAUUCUAAGGCCCCCAACCAUCUGAAUGGACCCCUCCUCUCAGCCAAGGGCAUUCCAAAGUUAACCUGGAAAAUUAGUUCAGGCCACAGUGGGAACAGGAGUUGUACAUGCCCCAUUAUACCCUCCUCCCUGUGGAAUUCAGGCACAACUGACCAGCAUUAACAUCAAAAAAGAGAUCUUAAGACUGUGGCAAUAAGACACCAAAUUCCAGCCUGACUCUAAUAUAGCAUCACAUGACAACAGGCCCUGAAGAAAUCAAAAUACUCUAUUCUUUUACUCACAUAUUUUGAAAUGGCCCUGCAAAACUGUCUCUUGUGGGGGAAAUCUACAUUCAGUAGAGAAUCCCUUUCCCUUUCCACAUCUUUUCCCUGAUCCAGGAGAGAAUUAACUAAGAGUCUGGCACCUUUUAAGUCUGAUAAGAAACAUUUACUAUCUACUCUUUCUGAAGCCUGCUACCUGGAGGCUUCAUCUGCAUAAUAAGAACCUUGGUCUCCAUAACCCCUUAUCUUAACUCAGAUAGUCCCUUCUAUGGAUUCCAUACUUUUAGAUAAACUCUUUUAAUCAAUUGCCCUGGGAAAAUCUUUGAAUGCACCUGUGACCUGAAAGUUCUCCUCCCCACACCUCUUCGAGCUGUCCUGCCUUUCCAGACCUGACCAAUGUACAUCUUAGAUAUUAAUUGAUGUCUUAUUUCUCCCUAACAUAUAUAAAACCAAGCUGUAGCCUGACCACCUUGGGCACAUGUCGUCAGGACCUCCUGAGGCAUGUCCUUAUUCUCGGCAAAAUAAACUUCUAAAUUGAUUGAGACUCAGACACAUUUUGGUUUACACAGCAAUAGUAGUAUUGAUAAUACCUCAAUGGAGUGACUGCAAUGAUGAGAAUUUCAGGCCUUGCUGGGGUGGGGUGUGUCUAUCCUGGGCCACUUUUAAGUUAUUUCUCAGAGAAAGUCACCAUCCCUGCCCACCUAGGGCUGGCCAUAAGAGAGGCCAGCCUUACCAUGUCUGCCAGGGCUAGUUUAGUGGUCAUCCUCACUGCCUGAGCUCUGCCCUGCACUCUCCCAUUCUUCAAGGGUUAUCUUUGAUGGAGCCAGCAGUAAAAUGGUCUGUCUAGGGGCCAGGAGCCAUCAGGAGAACAAAGUCAUCUCCAACACUCUGCCCAAUGUUAGAGCACUGUGCCAGUAUAAGCUCCCAAGUCACCCAUCUGGGGUGGUGGCUAAAGGCCCCCACAAUAUUUUUA
rnacentral:lncRNA from 1 species